GACUGGGAUGGGGGUGAGGGUUGUUAUUUCCCCCCUCACAUCAAUUUAACUGCUGCUGGAGCCUGUUGGGGAACACCCCAAAACCAGGGGCUCAUUGCCCAAGGGCGGGCUGAUGCCAUUUUCCUUCCAGAGGGAGAAAAGCGAGAAGCUUGGAGGCUGGCUUGGGGCUGACAGGGGCACAAUUAAGGAGAUUUUUUUAGUUUUUUAGGUUUUUGCUCGCACGCAUCACCCUGACGGAUUAGCGCGCCCCUUCAGUGGGGCGGCACGGGAUAUCCUAAAUACAAACACACACACAUAUACAUUUAUUUACUUUAUUUGUAAGUGAAUUUAUUUAUUUAUUUAUUUAUUUAUUUAUUUUUAUAUAAGUGCAAACAAGGAACACCCAACGAGCCUCCUCAGCCCCCGAGGCCCCAGCGCUGUGUGACGGCUCCCCUCAGCGGGCCCGCUGCCCCCCUGAGGCACAAAGCGGCGAGCCGCGAGGCCUUCUGGGACUUGUAGUUCUUUCCCUGACAACAACCAAUCCACUUUGCUGCGCGUCUUGCCCGGACCGGACUACAUUUCCCGACAGGAAGCUGGCGGGCGGGACCGCAUUUCCCCGCCCCUCCAGCGGCAAUCCCGGGCUCUGAUUGGCGGGCGGGGCGGCGCGGGGGCGGGGCCUCGCUGUGGAGAAGCAGCGGGGCGGGCGGCGCUGAGGGGAGCGGGCGGCGGCUGCGGCCCCUCGGGUCCCUGCGGAGCCCUCCCGGCGAUGCCCGGUGCCGCGGAGUGAAGCCGCCGCCUCCUUUCUCCUCUUUCUUCUUCCCCUUCUUCACCCGAGAUGGGCGACGUGAACUCCAACGUGCCCCUGACGGCCGCCCGCAGCACCGGCGACGCGCAGCUGGACCGGGCGGUGUGGCAGUGGCUGAGCUGGGACAAGGCAAAGAGUGCCUGCAACACCAAGACUGCUCGGAGGGAGAGCUGUGAACUGCAGCUCUGCUGGCAGGACCUUCGCCUUGAGAUCUAACCCUGGCAGCAAACAUUAUUUACGUGAUGGGGAGCGAAACGAUCAGUGAGAAAUACUCUGUGCCCUCGCACCUUAAUUCUGCAGUUGUUUCAGCUUGUGUCCCA
rnacentral:lncRNA from 1 species